CCCAGUCAGUGGGGUCAAAGGCCAAGACAGGUCUGCCUCCCACAACAGUCAUCCCCAGUCAGUGCGGUCAAAGGCCAAGACAGGUCUGCCUCCCACAACAGUCAUGCCCAGUCAGUGCGGUCAAAGGCCAAGACAGGUCUGCCUCCCACAACAGUCAUCCCCAGUCAGUGCGGUCAAAGGCCAAGACAGGUCUGCCUCCCACAACAGUCAUCCCCAGUCAGUGCGGUCAAAGGCCAAGACAGGUCUGCCUCCCACAACAGUCAUGCCCAGUCAGUGCGGUCAAAGGCCAAGACAGGUCUGCCUCCCACAACAGUCAUCCCCAGUCAGUGCGGUCAAAGGCCAAGACAGGUCUGCCUCCCACAACAGUCAUCCCCAGUCAGUGCGGUCAAAGGCCAAGACAGGUCUGCCUCCCACAACAGUCAUGCCCAGUCAGUGCGGUCAAAGGCCAAGACAGGUCUGCCUCCCACAACAGUCAUCCCCAGUCAGUGCGGUCAAAGGCCAAGACAGGUCUGCCUCCCACAACAGUCAUCCCCAGUCAGUGGGGUCAAAGGCCAAGACAGGUCUGUCUCUCAGCUGGGAUCUCUGUCUAUAGUAUAGAAAUGAAGACAAAGCUUCCGGGGGCCUGAGGUCCUCCAG